rnacentral:rRNA from 1 species
UACGGGGGGGGCACGCGUUGUUCGGAAUCACUGGGCGUAAAGCGCACGUAGGCGGCUUUCUAAGUCAGGGGUGAAAUCCUGGAGCUCAACUCCAGAACUGCCUUUGAUACUGGAGAGCUUGAGUCCGGGAGAGGUGAGUGGAACUCCGAGUGUAGAGGUGAAAUUCGUAGAUAUUCGGAAGAACACCAGUGGCGAAGGCGGCUCACUGGCCCGGUACUGACGCUGAGGUGCGAAAGCGUGGGGAGCAAACAGG